rnacentral:rRNA from 1 species
UACGUAGGGUGCAAGCGUUGUUCGGAAUCAUUGGGCGUAAAGCGCGUGUAGGCUGUCAGUUAAGUCGGUUGUGAAAUCCCUGGGCUCAACCCAGGAAGUGCAUUCGAAACUAACUGACUAGAAGACGGUAGAGGAAGGUGGAAUUCCAAGUGUAGAGGUGAAAUUCGUAGAUAUUUGGAGGAAUACCGGUGGCGAAGGCGGCCUUCUGGGCCGUUCUUGACGCUGAGACGCGAAAGCAUGGGGAGCAAACAGG